UAACAGUAUGACUCAGUGCAGAUUGAAAUACAAGCCAAAUAAAUCACUUCUUUGCUAAUAUAACUCCACUAAAGCCAAUCAACUUACAUCAUAAAAGCCUAAAAGAAAAGGAAGGCAUCUGAACCAAAAAGCUUUACGUUUCCAGGACUAAGAUCUGCACUCCAUCUAGUGGUGAUUGAACUACACUGGCUACACAUAACGGAUGGUGACAGAAAACAUGGAAUCUGAACUAGAUCCAAUAACAAGACUACUGCUUUUCUUGUUUGAAAACCAGCUGAAGAAUUGAUGUACCCUUUGAAAGCUGAUUUUCAUAGUCUGUGUUACGGAAAUGGAAAGAAACAGAUUGUUAAACAGCCAAGGCCAUACUUGCUCUGCUAUGAAAACUUGAAACUAGCAUUUUGAUGUCUCUCUGUAAGCUCAUCACUGUUAAAUAAACAAACCUACUACAGAAGAUGAAAGCAUUUUUUAUAGUAAAAAUAAAUUCAUACUUGCUAUACCUCCACAAUUUUUAAUAAAGGUUGAAUUUAGACAGUUCCAUUAAACUAGCUGUGGAUGUUUAUAGUCCAUCCGAUAAUGUCUCCAAUACCUAUAUUCUUAUUGUUGCUUUUAUUUCCUGUGAUCAAAAUGCAGGACCAGGUUCUCAAAUAAAAAUGGUGUAAGUUAAAAGAUAGUAUGUGACACAGGUGAGUUAGGACUAGACUGCUCUCAGUUAUACCUCCUUCAAAGUCCCUCAUACCUGCCAAACCCAGAAUAUUUGGGCACUUAAUUCUCCUGGAGUCAAUGGGAGCUAGGCACCCAAAAUCUCUUUUUUUUCUAUGAGUCUAUAAACUAGAAGCAAGAACCUGGAGUUUUGUAAGUUGAAUAAGGCACAGCUACAUGAGUACAACUAGCUAAUGAGACUAAGAGGGAAAGCAGCCUACUUUUAAGAGAAAGGCCACACAAACUGCUGUGUUGUGUGCUGAAGACAAAUAGGGAAUAGGCAAAGGUCGGCAGAGAAGCAACUCUCAUGGGUCUGCUAGGUGAUGCUUAGCUGCUGUGUGCAUUGCUGUGUGUGCGCGUGUGUGUGUGCGCGCGCACGUACGCAUGCACACACAUAUGAGAGAGAGAGAGAUUGUAAGUCCUCUUGUGGAUAUAUAUUUGUUUCGAGGAACACCUGUGUGCAAUGGUUUAUUUCUAACUGUACUGUGGCCUUCUUUUUUUACUCCAUUCCUAGAUGCUAGCAGGUUGUGUGUGCAGUCUUGCAUAUUUAUCUUCUAUUACCGUUCUGCAUGGACUGGCCUUCUCCUUGUCUCAGCAUGUCUUUGGAGCCACUACAUAAGAAAGAUCUGGAAUGUCUCCAUACACACCAGCAAUGGGCAUGGUAAAGAAUAACUAGUACUGCCAAAAUUGUGCUGACUCCUGCAAUGUUAAUGGUGGGGUCAAUUAAGGCUGUCUCGUCCUCCUCCUCCUAUCCAGUUAGAUCAUGACAGGAUGAAUUUAUCCUCCUUUCCCUCUCAGCCUAUACUGUAUUUAUCCCAAGAACAUAAUGACCUUUUUUCCAACAGGCCAUACGCAGACUUCCUUUUGCAUCAUUACAGGAUAACUAGCUGUCUUGUCUCCAGUUACACCACCUGGUUGCCUAAAUCAUACCAGCCUAAUGUGUUGUGUUCACUUUUUACACCACCGUAAGAA